AGCAGAUGCAGUUACUACUCUAAGACGCAUUUUUAAAUCAGCUGUAGUAUCUUUAUAUGAGAAAGUGGAUUUACCUCGAAUUAUAAUCAAUUUUUUUUUUAAUUUCGUAAAAUAUGAAAAUUUUUAUUUAAGAAAUUUGUGAAUUUGCAAGUGCACAGUCUAGCCAUAAGAAUUUUAUUGGUGGUAAAAGUAUACUUGAUGCAGGGCAUUUGAUUAAAUGUGGUAUACUGCAAUCAGAUAAUACUUGUAACAAUGUGUAUAAAAUAAUUGCAUUUUAUUUGCAAACUUCUCACUUAAAAGAUGCUCCACAAGAAAUUGUAGGCGCAAUUUCACAUAUGGAAAAAUUAUGGGAAUUUCAUGUUCGUGCAAGGCUGGACUAAGUGAAAAUUGUAAGCUUGUAGUUGCUAUACUUCUUUACUGUAACAGAAAUGAUCUCGAAAAACUUCAGCCAUUCAACUCCCUGAGGGUGCUAUCUUUUUGUCCUAACAACCAGUUCUUUCGAGCCGAAAAUGGAUGUUUGAGACAGAUUUGUAUUUAGUCAGUUGCAUUUAAUGUUGUUUCCUUUAAAUACAGAUGGCUGAUAGUAACAGUACGAGAUGGUGACUUAGUAAUGUAGAAAGAUGUCAAAUUAUGAACAGUUGUACAUCGAACUGAUGUUAUGUAUUUGCAUACAGUGAUUAAGUCGGACAUAAAAUGUUACAUGUGUAUUUGUUGCUAUCAUGAAAAAUAGUCACUAAUUUAUUAAAACAACGAUAAUUUAAUGCAUUAGUAUUUUAUACUUUUUUUAAAAUGAGUCAAAUAAAUUGAGAGCAGUUUGCUUAUAA